GAAAUAUCAGCCGCACUAAAAGUCUCUUUUAUUGGGAAAACUUAGCUGCUGUGAGAGAAGUCUAAGGAGGAGGACGAUUAAUUUCAUCCGAAAGGUAGUACCACUGGUUGGAGGAUUGUUCUAGCUUACCAGGAGACCGUGACCGUGGAGCAACCUAGCUUGUAGAUUACACUCUUGAUUCGAAAAGCUAUUUCGUCAUUUCUUUUAAGGUGUUUAAUUGGCUAAAAUGUUCUAUUGAGUUCUUUAAGAUCAAAAUCUUAUUUCUUUUAAAUAAAUUGUUAGCGUUUAUUUUGGGACCGGCCUGCGUGUCGAGAUUUAUUUUUAUUUAUUUAUUUUCAAAUAUUUGUAAAUAUACUUGCAACUUCUUUAUCACUUUCAAUAAAUAAAAUUGAUUUUUUUUCUU